rnacentral:rRNA from 1 species
AUUGAACGCUGGCGGCAGGCCUAACACAUGCAAGUCGAACGAGUGGCGGACGGGUGAGUAAUGUCUGGGAAACUGCCUGAUGGAGGGGGAUAAUUACUGGAAACGGUAGCUAAUACCGCAUACCAUCAGAUGUGCCCAGAUGGGAUUAGCUAGUUGGUGGGGUAACGGCUCACAAAGGAGACGAUCCCUAGCUGGUAUGAGAGGAUGACCAGCCACACUGGAACUGAGACACGGUCCAGACUCCUACGGGUGGCAGCAGUGGGGAAUAGUGCACAAUUGGCGCAAGACGGAUGCAGCAAUGCCGCGUGUAUGACGGAGGCCUUCGGGUUGGAAAGUACUUUCAGCGGGGAGGCGUUACCCGCAGAAGAAGCGCCGGCUAACUCCGUGCCAGCAGCCGCGGUAAUAC